GGCACUACGGCAGGAUGAAAGGCAUGGUGAAUCAUUAUUACUACGCAAUAAUGAAGGCCUGGGGGGUGAUCAAUAAUGGCCUGGGGAGGUGAUCAAUAAUGAAGACCUGAUCGGUGAUCAAUAAUAAUGGCCUGGGGAGGUGAUCAAUAAUGAAGACCUGAUCGGUGAUCAAUAAUGAAGGCCUGGGGGGUGAUCAAAAAUGAAGGCCUGGGGAGGUGAUCAAUAAUGAAGGCCUGGGGGGGUGAUCAAUAAUGAAGGCCUGGGGAGGUGAUCAAUAAUGAAGGCCUGGGGAGGUGAUCAAUAAUGAAGACCUGGGGAGGUGAUCAAUAAUGAAGGCCUGGGGAGGUGAUCAAUAAUGAAGGCCUGGGGAGGUGAUCAAUAAUGAAGACCUGGGGAGGUGAUCAAUAAUGAAGACCUGGGGAGGUGAUCAAUAAUGAAGACCUGGGGAGGUGAUCAAUAAUGAAGACCUGGGGAGGUGAUCAAUAAUGAAGACCUGGGGAGGUGAUCAAUAAUGAAGGCCUGGGGAGGUGAUCAAUGAUGAAGACCUGGGGAGGUGAUCAAUAAUGAAGACCUGGGGAGGUGAUCAAUAAUGAAGACCUGGGGAGGUGAUCAAUAAUGAAGACCUGGGGAGGUGAUCAAUAAUGAAGGCCUGGGGAGGUGAUCAAUAAUGAAGGCCCGGGGAGGUGAUCAAUAAUGACGAGCGAUCAGGAUGACAUGUUUACCUGACAAAGACAGGUGGAGACAUGCCAGGAGCCCGGGAGAAAACUCUAGGACAUAUCUGAGUAAACUGGUCGACCAUAUUUGGCUAAGCUUCCAGACGGCAAACUUCACCAUUAAAUCAGUGUUGUUGACAUUAUCUUGUUAGCGGUUGGAGUGAACAACAGGGCCUUCUCUCUCGACCUUGGGAGGAAACCCUCCCUAACUCAGACUCGAUGGAUUCUUAGAAUGAGCUAAUUAUUUUUUCAGAAACCACAUACAGCAUGUUAUCUGACUGUUAUCAGAAAAAAAACGUAUUUGGUUUUUCGAAGGCCAGAGGCAUAUUUCUAUCCUUUAUGUUGAGAAUGACAAAUUAUUGUGGUUCUAUCGUUAUACGUCUACUGCUAAUGCUAAUCACUAUGACCCCGCCUCUGACUCCACCUCUAUGACUCCGCCUCUAUGACUCCGCCUCUAUUAGCGGGGACAACAAAUUCUGACCUUUCCAGAUCUACCUUUAGUAGAUUGUGUAAAUGCUAUGAGUCACUGUCAUAAAAAGGGAGUGGUUCAUGUCUAUGGACUAGUGUUGACACAAGUAAAAAGCCUGUGUACCUUCAUUGUGCAAAGCUAAUUGUAAAAGUCACAGGGAAAUUGUUGAGUUUAGAAUUAUAAUUUGUUUAUGCAGUCAACAAGGCCACUAUAAUGGAGUUCUUUCUGUCCCUACCAUUACCGUGUACAUGUGAAUCAUUUACUUACUGUAUAUAUUCUACUGUAUGUACCACAGGAGGGUAGUGGGACCUUAAUUAGGGAGGACGGGCUCGUGGUAAUGGCUGGAGUGGAAUCACUGGAAUGGGUUUUAAAUACAUCAAACACAUGGUUUCCAUGGUUUCCAGGUGUUGGAUGCCAUUCCAUUUGCUCCGUUACAGACAUUAUUAUGAGCCGUCCUCCCCUCAGCAGCCUCCAAUGGUGUGUAAAUGUACAUUUGCUGAAUACAAAAAAACAAUAUAAUAUAUAUUUUAUAUCUUGUAAAAUGUUAUAUUCAUUAAUUUAAUUAAUUUAUCAAUGGCAAGUUCAUUCAGCAAUGUCAUUGUGUAAUGGUGUCACAGUCUAAUGAUAUCUGCUAUGCUAACGUGAGGUGGGAACAUUCUGACUGUGAGAUGUGGAGGAAUCUGAAGGGUGGACCUUAGGUCCUGGAGAGAUUGGUGGAGAGCUGCUGUGAAAUACCACACGUACAGAGCCCAGAGAAGACCUAGCUCGAUGGCUCUGGCAACACUGCACUGUGACACCAUCCCACUGUGUUGAUAGCUGACUGUAUUUACAGGAAGCUGCAGAGAGCGGACACAUCGUUUAAGCUGCAUAUUUUCACGUAGACAGACACUGUCUAUGAUAUCUCUUUACUGGCAACAACACGUCUGCAGGGCUCUUUUGACCAUCUGCUCAACAUAUCAAGUGGAACUCAGAAACCAUCGGAUGUGUAAUGGAGGCAAUAUUUUCAGAAGAAAAUACUGCAUGUUGGCCGAUAUUGUUUAAAAUACAUUUAUAAUAUAUUUAUAAAACCUGGUCCCUAAAACUGAGUAGAACUCACCAUGACAGGUGUGGAGGCUGUGUGGAUGUAGGACUACCACACACCAUGACAGGUGUGGAGGCUGUGUGGAUGUAGGACUACCACUCACCAUGACAGGUGUGGAGGCUGUGUGGAUGUAGGACUACCACACACCAUGACAGGCGUGGAGGCUGUGUGGAUGUAGGACUACCACUCACCAUGACAGGUCUGGAGGCUGUGUGGAUGUAGGACUACCACUCACCAUGACAGGUGUGGAGGCUGUGUGGAUGUAGGACUACCACUCACCAUGACAGGCGUGGAGGCUGUGUGGAUGUAGGACUACCAAUCACCAUGACAGGUGUGGAGGCUGUGUGGAUGUAGGACUACCAAUCACCAUGACAGGUCUGGAGGCUGUGUGGAUGUAGGACUACCACUCACCAUGACAGGUCUGGAGGCUGUGUGGAUGUAGGACUACCACUCACCAUGACAGGUCUGGAGGCUGUGUGGAUGUAGGACUACCACUCACCAUGACAGGUCUGGAGGCUGUGUGGAUGUAGGACUACCACUCACCAUGACAGGUCUGGAGGCUGUGUGGAUGUAGGACUACCACUCACCAUGACAGGUCUGGAGGCUGUGUGGAUGUAGGACUACCACUCACCAUGAC